CUCACCAGGUCCAGACAUAAGAAGGAUUGACAGAUUGAUAGCGCUUUCAUGAUUUUAUGGGUGGUGGUGCAUGGCCGUUCUUAGUUGGUGAAGUGAUUUGUCUGGUUAAUUCCGAUAACGAACGAGACCUUGGCCUGCUAAUUGGACCGGUCGACCUUCGGGUUGGCACCUAGCAAUAGGAAUUGGUCCGCUUAGAGGGACUUUGAGCUUUAAGCUCAAGGAAGCACGAGGCAAAAACAGGUCUGUGAUGCCCUUAGAUGUUCUGG
rnacentral:ncRNA from 1 species